rnacentral:rRNA from 1 species
UACGGGGGGGGGCAAGCGUUGUUCGGAAUUACUGGGCGUAAAGGGCGCGUAGGCGGCCUGCUAAGUCGAACGUGAAAUCCCCGAGCUCAACUCGGGAACUGCGUCCGAUACUGGCAGGCUUGAAUCCGGGAGAGGGAUGCGGAAUUCCAGGUGUAGCGGUGAAAUGCGUAGAUAUCUGGAGGAACACCGGUGGCGAAGGCGGCAUCCUGGACCGGCAUUGACGCUGAGGCGCGAAAGCCAGGGGAGCAAACGGG